rnacentral:rRNA from 1 species
UACGAAGGGGGCUAGCGUUGCUCGGAAUCACUGGGCGUAAAGCGCACGUAGGCGGGUUGUUAAGUCGGGGGUGAAAUCCUGGAGCUCAACUCCAGAACUGCCUUCGAUACUGGAGAGCUCGAGUCCGGGAGAGGUGAGUGGAACUGCGAGUGUAGAGGUGAAAUUCGUAGAUAUUCGCAAGAACACCAGUGGCGAAGGCGGCUCACUGGCCCGGUACUGACGCUGAGGUGCGAAAGCGUGGGGAUCAAACAGG